GCUGAUUGCGUAACUUACCCAAAUCUGUUGUAGUUGAGCAGACAUAGGUUCAAACCAACUUAAUUCAGUACAGACAUUUCAGGUUUAUUCAGUUCAGCUAAACUGUUCAUGGAAUCCAACUUAUUACUUACUUCUUGACAGUAAAGGUAAUCAAUGGCGUCACGGCCAGGCUUUCCUUUAUAUGUUCUUGUAAUUGAUUUGCCAUAUGCUUUUAGUGAUCUUUACAACAAAAUUUCCAUACAUAUAGUUUUUUUCCUUAAGGAGACAGUGACACUGUGGCAAGACUAAUGAUUCAUUGUCCAAAGUUCAAGGGCAACCAGUGUGAUAGCUAGGUGCAGAUUAAAGUGACAAC